GGUUUCCGAAGGUCUUGCAAGGUCAAGAAAUAUGCCCAAUGAGAUCACUGACUGGAAAAAGUGAUUUCAACCUGGGUGCUUGGGGCAAAACCAAUCUUGGAUGUGGUCCUUUUGACAUAUAUCAAGCACCAAGACCCAAUUUCUAUCCACUAGCAGCAGAAAGCAUGCAAAAUAUGUAUUUUCCUUAUGGUGAUUUGUAUAAAACUGGCCAAGAUCCUAGAAUGCGCUCUUACACUGCUAACUUCCCAAGAGAAAAUUUCCAAUUCGGUGCAUCUUCUAUUCAGACUGCUAGGGAUGAAGCUGGAAAGUCAAAUCAACUGAAUGACCACAAGUCACAGGAAACUAUUUCUGCUCCACCAGCUUUAGGUGUAAAUUUAAUGAAUCAAAAGGAUAACUCUUUUAAUGGGAC
rnacentral:misc_RNA from 1 species